rnacentral:rRNA from 1 species
AAAAUAUCUAUCCUCCCUCUAAGCCUAGGUAGAAAACUAAGUUAUAAGACAAGGAUGAACACGAUAUAUGGUACUUUUUAAAAUCUGGUUCCCAAAGAAAUAAAACAUUUUAAAAAGAAUUUUAAAAUAAUGUAUUUAGCUUAUGCUGAGUAUAUAUUAGUGAGCAACUAAUUUAAAAAUAUUUAAGGAAUAAUAGUCCCCUCUGUUAUAAUAAAUUACUAUUGACCUAAUUUAUUUAUUAAGCUUCUCUUCUUAUUUGGGUAAUUAAUUCUAAGAAUUAGAACUUGUUUACACUAGUAAAUAUACUUUUAUUAUUUUCUUACUUAAAUAAGUUUUAUCAAUUUUAAAUUAAAUAUAAACUAAAUAACUUGAGAUUCUCCAAACUGUUUAACAAAGACAUAGUAAGACUGUGUCUUAUGUAUCUGCCCAAUGAAUAAUUUUUUAUGGCUUUAAAGUAGCGCAAUAAUUAGUUUAUUAAUUGUAAACCUGUAUGAAGCUAGCAUUGGUUAAUCAUGUUUAUUCUUAUCUGUUGAAUCUUAGUUAUCAGUACAAACGCUGAUAUGCCCCCCGAAGACGAUAAGACCCUAAGACCUUCACCUUGUUUGGCUGGGAUAGCCUACUUAAUAUAAUAAAGAAACCUUAAUUAUUACGAACCAAUUAUUUUGCUAUACAUAGGUACCUUAGGGAUAACAGCGCGUAAUACUUUUAGAGCUCUUAUUUAAAAGAUAUUCGUGACCUCGAUGUUGAAUUAAGUAAUAUAGUGCUGCAGAAGGUGCUAUUUUAAGUCUGUUCGACU